rnacentral:rRNA from 1 species
CCCUUAGAUGUUCUGGGCCGCACGCGCGCUACACUGACGGAGGCAGCGAGCAUGUCCUUCGCCGAGAGGUGUGGGGAAUCUUGUGAGUCUCCGUCGUGCUGGGGAUAGAUGGUUGCAAUUGUCGAUCUUGAACGAGGAAUUCCUAGUAAGCGCGAGUCAUCAGCUCGCGCUGAUUACGUCCCUGCCCUUUGUACACACCGCCCGUCGCUCCUACCGAUUGGGUGUGCUGGUGAAAUGUUCGGAUCGGCCGUUUGUCGCGGUUUCCGCGUCAUGUGGCUGAGAAGUUCAUUAAACCCUCCCACCUAGAGGAAGGAGAAGUCGUAACA